UGCUCGAAUUAAUUCUAAUUAUUUAUACUUCGUGGACUCGACUUGUCAACUACCAUUUGACUUACCUUCUUUAUUCAGACAUAUUGUUUUAACAUGCUUACAAGUAGUGGGGACCACUGCCUAUUGAUACGUGCCUUGCCAUCAUGACAUGGAUCCUUACGCGAUUGCUUUUCUUUAUUUUGAUUUUUAAUUUUAGCGACACACCCCAAUUUGGAAACAUCACAGGUGACGUGUCAUCAGUUUGCCGAGGGGACGGACAAAACUGUUCCUGCCCCUCAUUUGGCAAUAAUUUAGGAAACCUUGUUAACAAACCUGGUUUUGGAACUGGACCGUGGGACCCCAACAGACUCAGUGAAAUAUACUCUGAGACUUUUGUGGAGGCAUCAUUCACCCCUGGCCUCAGGGUCCCGAAACCGCUCUCUGCCGAUGGGCUGAUUGACAGCGCCCCAGCAGAUGACUCCGCCUGGCCCAGCUUUGCGGCUCUCAGACACUUUUUCCACCAGACUCUGGAGCGCUUUCACGCUUACGUGAGAGAAG